AGAGUUUGAUCCUGGCUCAGGACGAACGCUUGCGACGUGCCUAAGAAAUGCAAGUCGAACGAGGCAGCAAUGCCGAGUGGCGAACGGUCGCGUAACACGUGGGCAACCUGCCCUAGAGUGGGGGACAACAGCCCGAAAGGGCUGCUAAUACCGCAUGUGGAUAUUUUGUGGCAUCACCGAGAUAUCCAAAGCAGCAAUGCGCUCUAGGAUGGGCCCGCGGCCUAUCAGCUUGCUGGUGAGGUAACGGCCCACCAAGGCUUCGACGGGUAGCUGGUCUGAGAGGACGAUCAGCCGGAUUGGGACUGAGAUACGGCCCAGACUCCUACGGGGGGCAGCAAUUAGGAAUCUUGCGCAAUGGGGGAAACCCUGACGCAGCGACGUCGCGUGGAGGAUGAAAUCUUUCGGGGUGUAAACUCCUUUUGUCUGGGAAGAAACAAAUGACGGUACCAGACGAAUAAGCCCCGGCUAACUACGUGCCAGCAGCCGCGGUAAUACGUAGGGGGCCAGCGUUGUCCGAAGUUACUGGGCGUAAAGAGCGCGUAGGCGGGUCUUUAAGUGAGUGGUGAAAGGUUCGGGCUCAACCCGGACACUGCCUUUCAUACUGGAGAUCUUGAGUGUAGGAGAGGCGAGUGGAAUGGUCGGUGUAGCGGUGGAAUGCGUAGAUAUCGAUCGGAACACCCAUGGCGAAGGCAGCUCGCUGGCCUAUAACUGACGCUGAGGCGCGAAAGCGUGGGGAGCAAACAGGAUUAGAUACCCUGGUAGUCC
rnacentral:rRNA from 1 species